UACGUAGGGGGCAAGCGUUGUCCGGAAUCAUUGGGCGUAAAGAGCACGUAGGCGGCCCAGUCAGUCCGCUCUGAAAGUCAGGGGCUCAACCCCUGAAUGCGGGUGGAUACUGCUGGGCUAGAGUCCGGAAGAGGCGAGUGGAAUUCCUGGUGUAGCGGUGAAAUGCGCAGAUAUCAGGAAGAACACCCGUGGCGAAGGCGGUUCUCUGGGACGGUACUGACGCUGAGACGCGAAAGCGUGGGGAGCGAACAGG
rnacentral:rRNA from 1 species